AAGAAACUGGUGUGGUACCCUUUCUCCCAUAAACGGCUAGUGGAACGAGGAAAAACGAUUGCAAAAAUAUUUCCUCACGAAAGGAGCUAAAAAAAAAUCUAGGAAUGAUUCUAGCAGUUUGCACAUUCACAAUAUUCACUGACAGUUAUUUCACGCAUUCGGAAUUUUUGAAUUUUCCCUGUAACGGUUUUUGGAAAAUCUUCUCGGAAUAAUAUGUACUUUGGUAUCUUGAAGUAGGCAACCUGGAAAAUAAGAGAUCAAUCGUUUCAUGUUCGUAAAAACUGAGUACGUAUGAGUUAUUUCAUAAUUUUUCUCGUUUUAUACGUUUUCGCGACAAAAAUUUCGAACAUCAUUUUCGGUUACUGCGCAGUUGGGUCGUAGACGCACCCACGCGCAAACUUCUUCACCUAGUCUUACGUCUGGAACACCAAUUACCUACGUGAAUGCACGACAUGCGAUAAAAGGUAAUAAUUAAUGCAGAAUUUAAUAAACUAUGUCACGUGAGCUUCGGCAACUGCUGGAUGGGUAUGAAGUAACUCCUCAAUCUCACGGGGAUAAAUAUUCUCUCCUAAGUAAAAAAUUUGGUUACACAAAUUUAACAUGUUUAAUUUAAUAUAACAAAUUUUAAAACUUUAUUUGUUUUACCGCCUCUUAUAAGCAUAUCUUUUGCCCUACCAACGAUUUGCCCAUAGCCAUUCUCGUCAAUGACAGCAAUAUCACUUUAAAAAAGAACAUUAGCAAUUUGAUGUAUUUUUGGUAGCACAAGAAUUAAACUACUUGCCCAGUACGUAACCAACGAUCAGGCGAAAUA